AUUGAACGCUGGCGGCAGGCCUAACACAUGCAAGUCGAGCGAGCGGCGGACGGGUGAGUAAUGUAUGGGGACUGCUCGAUAGCGGGGGAUAACUACUGGAAACGGUAGCUAAUACCGCAUACUAUCGGAUAACCCAUAUGGGAUUAGCUAGUAGGUGAGUUAAUGGCUCACCUAGGCGACGAUCCCUAGCUGGUCUGAGAGGAUGAUCAGCCACACUGGGACUAGUACACGGCCCAACCUCCUACGGUGGAAGCAGUGGAGAAUUUUGCACAAUAGGCGCAAGCCUGAUACAGCCAUGCCGCGUGUAUGAAGAAGGCCCUAGGGUUGUAAAGUACUUUCAGUCAGGAGGCAUUACCGACAGAAGAAGCACCGGCUAACUCCGUGCCAGCAGCCGCGGUAAUUC
rnacentral:rRNA from 1 species